rnacentral:rRNA from 1 species
AGUGAACGCUGGCGGUAGGCCUAACACAUGCAAGUCGAACGGCAGCACAGUAAGAGCUUGCUCUUACGGGUGGCGAGUGGCGGACGGGUGAGGAAUACAUCGGAAUCUACUUUUUCGUGGGGGAUAACGUAGGGAAACUUACGCUAAUACCGCAUACGACCUACGGGUGAAAGCAGGGGAUCUUCGGACCUUGCGCGAUUGAAUGAGCCGAUGUCGGAUUAGCUAGUUGGCGGGGUAAAGGCCCACCAAGGCGACGAUCCGUAGCUGGUCUGAGAGUAUGAUCGGCCACACUGGAACUGAGACACGGUCCAGACUCCUACGGGAGGCAGCAGUGGGGAAUAUUGGACAAUGGGCGCAAGCCUGAUCCAGCCAUACCGCGUGGGUGAAGAAGGCCUUCGGGUUGUAAAGCCCUUUUGUUGGGAAAGAAAAGCAGCAGGUUAAUACCCCGCUGUUCUGACGGUACCCAAAGAAUAAGCACCGGCUAACUUCGUG